rnacentral:rRNA from 1 species
AGAGGGAAGCGGAACUCCCAGAUGUAGCGGUGGAAUGCUCAGAUAUUGGGAAGAACUCCAGUGGCGAAGGCGGCUUCCUGGCCUGCUCCUGACGCUGAGAGGCGAAAGCUAGGGGAGCAAACGGGCUUAGAUACCCCGGUAGUCCUAGCUGUAAACUUUGGAUACUGGUAUUGGGGGUAUAGAUUCCCUCAGUGCCGAAGCCAACGCGUUAAGUAUCCCGCCUGGGGACUAUGGCCGCAAGGUUAAAACUCAAAGGAAUUGACGGGGGCCCGCACAAGCAGCGGAGCGUGUGGUUUAAUUCGAUGCGACACGAAGAACCUUACCUGGGCUUGACAUGCACGUGGUAGGAAUCCGAAAGGUGACCGACCCUUCGGGGAGCGUGCACAGGUGCUGCAUGGCUGUCGUCAGCUCGUGCUGUGAGGUGUUGGGUUAAGUCCCACAACGAGCGCAACCCUCGUCGCUAGUUAAACAUCUCUAGCGAGACUGCCGGAACAUAACGGAGGAAGGUGGGGAUGACGUCAAGUCAGCAUGGCCUUUAUGUCCAGGGCGACACACACGCCACAAUGGCCGGUACAAUGGGUUGCCAAGCCGCGAGGUGGAGCUAAUCCACAAAGCCGGUCCCAGUUCGGAUUGUAGGCUGCAACCCGCCUGCAUGAAGUCGGAGUUGCUAGU